UAGGCACUCAAGCAGAACAAGUUAUUCAUAUUGGAUCAUCAUGAUGCAUUGAUGCCGUACCUGAGGCGGAUAAACUCAACUUCCAACAAGAUCUAUGCUAGCAGAACAGUUCUUUUCUUGAAAAGUGAUGGAACUUUGAAGCCAUUGGUGAUUGAAUUAAGCUUGCCUCAUCCUGAUGGAGAUCAAUUUGGUCGCAUUAGUAAAGUAUAUACACCAGCUGAAGAGGGUGUAGAAGGCUCCAUAUGGCAACUGGCUAAAGCUUAUGUGGCUGUAAAUGACUCUGGAUAUCAUCAACUUAUCAGUCACUGGUACUAAUCUUUCAAAGAAAGAAAUCUUAGAAAAUGAAUUCAUCAUAUUACUUUGAAUUGGAUUUCUGAUAAUCCUUUUAUCUUUUGGCCACAGGUUGAACACCCACGCAGUGUGUGAGCCAGUUGUAAUAGCUACAAACAGGCAGCUAAGCGUGGUUCACCCAAUUUACAAACUUCUGCAUCCUCACUUCCGUGACACCAUGAACAUAAAUGCAUUUGCCAGGCAAAUCCUGAUCAAUGCUGGCGGCAUUCUGGAGACAACAGUUUUUCCUGCUAGGUAUGCCAUGGAGAUGUCAUCAGUGGUUUAUAAGGAUUGGGUUUUCACUGAGCAAGCUCUCCCUGCAGAUCUCAUCAAGAGGUAAACAAAAAUCUACACUUUGUGAGUUAAUUGCCUCUGCACAAGUAACUCAAAUGAGCACAAGAUAAGUAAUAAAUAUCCAUUCCUUAUUCUAAUUACAUUGCUUUGCCUUUGAUCAAUACAGAGGAGUUGCAGUCAAGGAUGCAAAUUCUCCACAUGGUCUUCGCCUACUGAUCGAGGACUAUCCAUAUGCCGUUGAUGGGAUUGAAAUCUGGUUUGCAAUUAAAACUUGGGUUGAAGACUAUUGCUCUUUCUACUACAAGACUGAUGACAUAAUUCAAGAAGACACCGAACUCCAAUCCUGGUGGAAGGAGCUUGUAGAGGAAGGCCAUGGUGACAAAAAAGAUGAGCCCUGGUGGCCUAAAAUGCAGACUCGCGAAGACCUAGUCGAAACAUGCACUAUCAUCAUAUGGACUGCUUCUGCUCUCCAUGCAGCCGUCAACUUUGGACAGUUCCCUUAUGCAGGAUACCUCCCCAACCGCCCAACUUUAAGCCGAAAAUUCAUGCCUGAGAAGGGAACUCCUGAGUACAAAGAGCUCGAAUCCAGCCCCGAUACAGUUUUCUUGAAAACAAUUACUGCUCAGCUGCAGACAGUGCUUGGCAUUGCCCUCAUUGAAAUUCUGUCAAGGCAUUCUACUGAUGAAGUGUAUUUGGGGCAGAGAGACACUCCUGAGUGGACAGCAGACACAGAACCAUUGAAAGCCUUCGAUAAAUUUGGAAGGAAACUGGCUGAAAUUGAGGACAGAAUUACAAGUAUGAACAAUGAUGAGAAACUGAAGAACCGAGUUGGACCGGUGAAGAUGCCAUACACUUUGCUGUUUCCUACUAGCGGAGGAGGACUUACUGGCAGGGGAAUUCCCAACAGUGUCUCAAUCUAAGCCUCUCAAGCUAGAAUAUAGACUAAAGUUAAUUAAUAUAAUGCAAGUUGCAAUUACUAUAUAUAAUUAAUUAGUAUAAUGCAUUCUUUAUGUGUAAUAAGCUAGAAACAUGACCUACAAUAUUGCAGUUGCAGUAAUAUUGGAUUGUUAAGUUGAGCAUCUUCAUCUUCAUCUUCAUCUGCUGGACCUAGAAUAUUACAGCUACAAUAUCUUUAUAUAAAUAGCUCUGUAUUCAUUGGUUCGUUAGCUUCAUUGCAAGCCUUCGGUCAGAAAUUUCUGCAGCAACAGCCUAGGCAUAUGCAAUAUCAACAUUUCAUCCAAGAUAUUGGAAACUACGAAAAUCAGAAUUUUAAGCCUUACUUUUAAUAAGCAUAUUUGAGAGGGAGCAGCAAAAGCUCAUCCAUGACAAUAUGUAUAAGCGCCUCAAUCUCAGCAUGCCUGCAAGUGCAUAGAAUAAGUUGCCUCUGUCUCAUCUGUUCAAAAAUUAAAUGAAACUCAUCACAGAGGAAAAGCAAAAACAAUAUAAAAUUUAUUAAGUCUAACUGCUUCCAUAAAAUUAAGGCUUAAAUGUUAACAUAGUCUAUGUGAUUUGUACAUUUGGUAAAUUUAAUCUCGUGUAUUUAAUUUGGCAAAUUUAGUUCUUGUGUUUGACUCCAUUAGCCAAUGUUGUCAAUUAUAUUAAAUUAUCGUUAAAAAAAUUCAUUAAAGUUUAAAAAUUAAUUAAAAAAUUUGUUAAAUUCAGUUUAUAAUGUUGAUAAAAAUUAAAAAAAUUAAAAAAGAAAUUUUGGAAACCCAACAGACUAUGUGUCCUCCUCUCAUGCUGCUGCCGCUACCCAACCCAACACCACAACCAUCAGUUGCCUGCCAAUACUGAUGUUGCAUCUUUAUGAGUGAGAGAAAGAGAGAUGGAGGAGUUGUGUGGUGGGGUGGGAUGGAUCGGGGAGAGAAGGGAGGGCUCGGGCCAGAUUUCUUUAUCCCUCUAAGGGUUUGUUGGUUCGUAAGUGCCCCUCACCUAGGCUAGGGCCCGAUUCUUUGAUAGCUCCAAGAGAUAACCCAUCAAGGAAACCUCCAAUUGUUGUACUCAUGAUAUUGAAGGGUCAGGCACUUUAUUGCAAUGAAUGUGGAGCAGAGCAAAAUAAUCAGCAAAAAGAAACUGAAGAACUUAGUUGCCAUGUUGGGAUUCGACAAUUGAAAAACAGAGAGAGAGAGAGAGAGAGAGAGAGAGAGAGAGAGAGAGAGAGAGAGAGAAUAGGGUGGUGGCUGGGACUGCUCAUGGUGGUUGUGGUGUGGGUUUUGUGAUUGUUUUUCAGGUUGGGGUAAAGAAUUAGGCCAAGUACAAGACUAAUAUACUAUUUUGGAGUCUAUUUAUUUGUAGGUUGAGCUGCACAUAAUCAUAGAUUAGGAGAGAUUCAGAAAUUCGUUCAGGGAGAAAUUAGUGGUUCAACAUAUGCAACUCACUCACCCUUACACUAUGUAGUCAGGUUAAAGAAUCGAGAUAUACUCCCGACUUACAAAGGGACAUGAAAUAAGUGCAUGGGUAAGUUAGAAGUUUUUCUAACAGGCUGUUCCUGCCUAGAAAUUGUUUACUACGACGAUUGCAGAGUAUCGAGACAGUGAGUACAAGAAGAUAGUUUGUUGUUUUUUAGUUACUAGCUCUUGAUAUGAAAUAAGGAGGAAGCUCUCCCAGUGCAGUUUCGAUCAUUGACGGACUCAGAAUUUUUUUAGCGGAGGUGGAAUAUUGACUAAGUAUGAAAAAUGAUUUUUCAGAAUAAUCAUUUUCUUAAGAUAAUUUUUGGCGGCUUUUAUUCCUUACACAUCAAAUAAGAAAACUUGAUUUUAUGGGAUUUUAGUAUGAAGUAUAUAUUGACUUAAUGAGCCAUUAUUUUUAGCCUAAAUCGUAUUUUGCACUAAAAUCGAUUUUUCAUAUUUUGAUAUGGUGCGAAUUUGAUUUUCUACUAUUUUUAUUUGAAUCCAAAUGGGGGGUACUCUUGGAAUUUUAAAAGGUUUUAAAAAUUUAACCGUUUUGUUUAUUUAAUUAUUUUGGUUGGUUUAUUUUAUUUAUUGUGGGGUUUAUAAAUAUUUAAUAUUUAUGUUUUAUUUCUGGUUGGUGAAUGCCUUAAUUCUUUGGUUGGUGAACUUUUAUAGUUGGUGAAGGUUACAUGUUUUUGGAUGCCUAUAAAAGGCCACUCCUCCUUCACAUUUGAAACAACUACAAUACACUAUUAGAAUAUCACAUACCACAUUCUGAUUCUCUCCUUUUCUACUUUUACAUAUAUUCUCUACUUUAUUAUUAUUAUUAUUUUGGGCAAUGGUUAUGUGACUUGGAUACCUAUAUCUGUCUAUGAACGUGCUUAUAGCGGAUCUUGAGUUUGUGUAGAAGGGGUCGUAUCUUGGGGUCUUGUAGACCGUCAGCACUUGCACGUAGGGAGGCUACAAAGGCUUUAGGACAGCGUCUUUGACGUGCUUCACCGUACCAAACUCACUUUCUUACUUAUUAUUUAUUUUCCUUUUACUUACCUAUUAUUUUGUUUUCUUCAAUUUCAUUAUACCUUCAAAGCUUUCUAAUUUGUUUAUAUGUUACUUAUAAUAUAAAUGUUUUGUAUUUGGCUUUACAGAAAGAGGAAAACUAUUAUUUUUUAUAACAGUUACUUCCUUAUUUACAUUGUAAAUUUAAAUAAAUGAAGUAAUAUAAAAAUAAAUAAGGUAAUCUAUACACCAGUCUUCCGAUAAGAGGAGGUGCAUCGCCUCAUUGCGCCUUAAUAGUUCCGCCACUUAUUCCGAUUCCCCAUAGGAUAGCCUCUAACUGAACCUAAGGCAAUAUGCUGCUAAGUGGAACCCUUGAACUGUGCUGCGAUAAAAAUAUGGGGUCCCUGAAUUCAGAGCUGUCUCUGUCCAGCCAUGAAGGACUAUUUUCAAUUGAACGGUGUCAUAUGGGGCACUUUCUAUGUCAACUCUGCCACACUGCACUGCCUUCAUAGUAAACAGAGCUAUAUGAGGCCCUAAAUAUAGCACAAAUGUGUGCAAACCAGAUCCUGCAUAGAAGAACAAUAUAAUAAAAUCAAUCCGAGUGUUGUCGAAAACAGGUCAACUCUAUCCACCAGAAUGUCAAAAUUUCAUGCUAUUGCUUACCAAGACCAAUUGAUGAUGCUACACCAAGAGCCAGCCACCAGAGUCCGAAUUGGAGACGACGAACAAGCUCCUGAAUAUGCUGCAGUAUGAUUAAUGUAUAAAAUCAAUAAAGGAAAGUCCAAAAGUGGGCAUAAAAAUGCAAUUCAAUUAAAUAAAUAAUGGGCAUAAAAAUACCUCUUCUUGAGGUCCACCAAAAGUUACAGUAAGCAUUCCUAUACCUCCUGCUAACAUAAUUAGAAGCACAAGCCAACCACCUUUUGCCAUAAAUUGUCGACGGCAUUGGCCAAAACCCAACAUGAAAUACUUUAAUGGCUGCUCUGUAAGUGUUAAGCUUUCUAGUGCACAAGCCAACCACUUUUUGACAUGAAAUACUUUAAUGUCUUUAAUAUUUUUAAUGUCUUUAAAAACAAACUACAACCAAAGCAUAAUUAAAAAUAAAACAUCAACACAAAGCAAAAUUAAAAACAAUGCAUCUUCACUUCACUUCAUUCACCGUCAUUACCUCUCACCGUCCAUAAAUAAUCCAUCAAGUCAACUUGACGUCGUUCAUGAAUAUAAGACGAUUGCAUCUCCGUAUAUCGAUCAAUCAUACAGUUCAUGAAACGAUCGUCCCUAACCAACAUAUCAUGCUCUAGUGGUUGUCCAUUUGGUUCCAUGGGCCUUUCAUAAAUUCUUGUCAAGGCCGUGUUCAUAGGAUCCGGUUCGACACAUAUGGAGCAUCACAAUCAUACUCAUCCUCCACAAUCAUGUUAUGGAGGAUGAUGCAAGUCAUCAUAAUCCUUCUCAGCACUUCCUUAUCAAACAUAUGUGCAGCACCCCUAAUCAUCGGCCACCUUGCUUGGAGGAUACCAAAACACCUUUCGACAUCUUUUCUGUAUCCAUCUUGAUAGGCAUAAAAUAAUUUUUGCUUCUCAGAUCGGGGAUUCAGAAUUGAUUUGACAAAUGUAGUCCACCUCGGGUAGAUGCCGUAUGCUAGAUAAUACCAAUUCCAGUAGACAAUAUUAUUGAUUUUAUAGGUGAUAUUUAAGGCUUCACCUCUCUAGACGUCGUUGAAAACUGGGGAUUGACCCAACACUUUCAAGUCGUUUUGAGAUUCGACAAUUCCGAAGAAGGCAUGUCAAACCCAUGUAUCGAAUCUAGCAACGGCUUCGAGGAUGAUACUUUUUUGUCCUUUCCUAUUUUCAUAAUCUCCUUGCCAGGACGUUGGGCAAUUCUUCCAUUGCCAGUGCAUAUAGUUGAUGCUUCCAAUCAUACCUAGAAAACAUCAAGCUUCGGCUUUCUGUAGAAGCCUUUGGAGGUCCUUAGGCGUAGGUUUGCAAAGCUAGUCCCUGGUGUAAAGAGUUUUGAUUCCGUCACAGAAUCUGACCAUGGUCUCUAGAGUAGUGGACUUCCCCAUCCUAGCAAUCUCAUCCACAUGAUCAGCAGAUGAACCAUAUGCUAGCACUCGUAUAACAACGGUAAGCUUUUGCUUUGGAAGAAUCCCCAAAACCCCAGCAGCAUCACACUUCUGAACGAAUUAUGCAUCGUAAUUGCAAACAUCAUGCAUGACUUUAUUGAACAAAUGGGGUUGCAUUCUAUAUCGCCCUCGAAAAUCAACAUUAAAGUACACAAAAUUUGGGAUAAAGUAAUCUUCCAAAAGAUUCUUACUCCAAGAAUACCUACGUCUGUCCAUGUUUGGACCACGGCCAACUUGUGAACCACGACGACAACCUUGGCUUACUAGAUCAAGCAAACCCACUGCUAUAUCAACUUUUUCAUCUUCUUCUUGCUACACCCUUUUUUCUUCAACUCGUCUACGCCUUCUUUCUUUAAUUUCUCUAGCUAUUGAAAUAAAAUGGUAAACGAACAUAGAUUAAUUAAUAAUAAAAAGGGUAAUUGUUCUCUUGUUCAUUAAUCCAGUUUAAUUUAUAAUGCUUAAACCAAAAAUAAGUAAAAAUCGGGCGAGACACUUUGAAAUAGGGGGUUGGCAUAAAAACCGCAGAAUCAACAAACUGAGUUAAUAAAAAUCUUGUUGACUAAAAAAAUCAACUUAGAUUUAAAAACUGAACCGGACAAGAUCGGGUGUGUUUUUUUUAAUAUUUUCAAAAUGUCCAAGUCUAGCAACCCAAUUUCAAAUUCCCAAGCCCAACCCUCAUACCUGAAAUAUCCUAGUCCAGCAGCCCACUGUUUUCUGGUCACCAAAUAUCAAAGUUUUAUGCAUUAGCCCAAAACCAACUUCUCAAAGGAAAGGGCAAAAAAAAAGAGAAAUUUUUGUAUGGGUACACCACAUCAUUGGCGUACUAUUCAAUACACGCAAGACAAUAUUGGAUAAUAUUUUCAUAUGUAACAUGUGUAUUGGAUGGUACACCAGUCACAUGGUGUAUCCUGAAUAUGCAAGAAUUACUAAAAAAAAAGCAAGAACACUAUUGACUUUUAAGAAUUCAACUGUACUUUCAUUUCAAUUGCUUAGUUUUACUUUAGAGAUGUGCUUUUAUUUGAGAAAUGGGUUCUUUCACAUUUCACGUGCCUUGAAAGUGGGCUCAAUUUGGGCUUUUGAGCCCACCACUGGCCUAUGUUGGCCAUUAAAGAACAAGGAAAUUUUUUUUCUUCUUCUAUAUUUUGAAAUAAAAGUAAAGGCAGAAAGAAUCAUAGAAUGGAAUAUAAGAAAUAAAAGAACCCACGUCCACCACCACUAGCCUAGCCUUAUGCCAUGUCCAAGAAGUUAUCAUAUUUUUCUUUUUUCAAGGCUUUUGGGAGUCAAAGAAGGUUAUCAUGUUGCAACUUUCCAAGGAACUUCUUCCCUCCUCAUGAGAGUCAUAGGCCAACCUUAACCAACUUUUACAACAACGUUUUCGACUUGCAAAUUUGCAUCAACGAUGUUACUUGUAUAAUUUUCAACAACGUUUUCGACUUGCAAAUCAUACGUACAUCGAUGUGAUUUACGUUGUUAUAUACAGUAUACGUAAAGUUGUACAAAAUAGUUAUUGAAUAAAGCAAUUGAAUUUAUUAAAGUCAACGAUCUAUGCGAAGGAAAAGUAUGAGAUUUGUUUAUUAUUUUUCCUUUUACCCAUGUCUAGACCUUUUAGGGGUCCAUGCGUAUGCUAAUAGCCUAAUACCAAUUCAAAAAAAUCGAAAAACAUGUUUAAAAAAACAAAAAUAAGGAAACAUGCCAAAGAAGAUGAAGGCAAUAUAUACAAGCUUUCUCCAAUCAACCAAAAAAAAAUUUGUAGUGUAUGUUUUCACCCACUCAAAACAAAAUAAUUUAUGAGUGCCAUUGCAUGCUAAUCGAUGAUGAAUUUUAGUUAUUAAAAAAAUUAUCUUAUGGUAUUAAGUCAUGGCAAAUUUAUCAUAAAUAUUUUCAUAUUAAAUGAUGUGAGGGCUCCUGUUUAAGUUUUGCAUAGUGCCCUCAAAAUCUCAAGAUCGGCCCUGGAGACAAGGUUCCUUUUUUCGUUUGUGGUUGAGAAGGUAGGAUACUUCGGUAGACCGAUGACCACUACGCUUCGUUUGGUGUAGAGUACUCGCCUAAUCCUCUAGAACAUAUUCUGGUUUUUUUUUUAAAAAAAAAUACUUGUUACUCAUUUUCCUCAUUAAUAAAACACUAUGGCCGUUGUGUAAAAAAAAAUAAAAAAUUGUCCUUGUACAAAUUGGGAAAUUAAAAAUUAAAAAUUAAACGUAGCCCAUUUCAAAUUGAAGACCCCUAAUAUCUCUGUAGACUAGUAUAGUACUUAUCCAAGGGUUUGUUCAGAUCUAAACCAAAUUGGUGACUAGCAUGGACUAUAGACUUGGUCACAAAUGUAGAAUUUGAUUAAAUUUUGUUGGUUAAUUACAACCCUAAUCUAAGUGAUCUCACAUUCUGGAUCGUAAUAAUAAUUAGUAUCAAUAUUUAUCCACCUAACAAUCUGAUCGGGGUUAUCCAACUUUAGGUUCUUCAAAACAUUGUGGGACAAGCUACUUGAUUAUGAUGGUACAACUGUAAAUUUGAAUUCUAAUUCAUUGUAUGCUCAAUUAAUGGAUGGUACUAUAGUUAGGUAUGAAGUGCUUCAAUUUGUUCACAAGAAAUGUUAAUGCACACGUCUUCUAAUUUUGGGUAGAACACCAAACUGCUAGCUUUCCUUUCUCUGCGACUUUGGUUUUUGCAGAGAAUUUUUCUUGCAUGUGAAGUGGUUUUUUUUCUUAAUUAAGUUCAAUCCCUCAGAUUGAAGGACCCCUAAACCAUUUUCGUCAAAGUUCAAUCUUGCAUGCUUUACACAAUAAGGAAAUUUUGAUAACUGGGAUUAAGAUAGAUUAAGAUAGACUAAUAAUUAAUGUAAUUGAGCUAUACACAGAUCACGUGCAAGGGAUGUUUUCAUGUCUGUUUUGUGUUGUGAUUAAACUAAUCCCACUACACCCACAAACAAAAUCUUUUGGAAUUUCAUCUUGAACAUGAGAAUAAACAAAUUAUUUCCAAAUGGAAAAAGACCCCAUGUGAAAAGCGAGGGAAUAUAUCUAUUCAUAAUAUUUAAAAGCCAACUUGCUGCUGGGAGAAGAAUAUUAUUACAAAGAACAACUCCAACGUGGCAGCUUAAAUCAGGUCCGAACCGAUGGCCCUUUGGCUUUGCUUCUCUCCUGAGAUAACGCAGAUAAAGCCAAACCCAAAACUGCGGGUCCAAAUUGGCCACAUUGUCUUUUCCGGUUUAAAAAAAAAAAAGAAAAAAAAAGAAAAAAAAAGGCACACUAAAAACGCAAAUCAUUUCGCAGCCCAGGAAUUGUCAAGGAUGCAAUGAAAAAAAAAUUAAUUGUACCUCUCGCAUUAAGUUAGCGUAUAGUGUAUUCAUGUGAUCUAUAUCCUAUCGUACAUGCAUAGUGUGGGUAAGGUAUAUGGGUCAUUACAAUAUCUUUUAAUUUUUAAUCUUCUAAUUAUUUCGUCAAUGUAUUUUAUAGGGGCAGUUCUUCGUACGAACAUGACGUACCUUUUUAUAUUAAAAUAUUCAUAUCUUUACCGAGAAUAUGUGAAUAAUAAAACGUAUCAACAUACUAUAUAUCUUAAUACACAAUCCGUAUUUUAACAAAGAACAGACGUGAUGCAUAUAGAAUUUCUAUAAACAAAGGGUUAAUCUUAAAGGGAUGAGUACGGGUUAAUUUGCAUUUUGCUCCCCUUGGUCACCGUUACCAAGCCAUCCCAAGAAAUAUACAGCCCUACAAAUAAUUUCCUUAGAUAAAAGUCGUGGAAGACUUUUUCCAGAGAAGAGACUGCUGACUUGUAACCAAUCGUAUAUUUCUUUUAAAGAAAUAGUAAGACAAUUAAACGUGCCCAUAUAUGAAAUGAAAUUGAACACAUGAACUGACUAUUAUUCUGAAGCUUCUCAGAAAGGAGUUGCAAUAUUGCUCACUUUCUCCCUAUAAAUACCACCACAAUUCCCUGUUGCACUCAUCCAUACAAACUUUCAACUCAUUUCACCAACAACAGCUACUUUUUUCUCGAAAAAAAGAUCAAGAGAUUCUUUGCUUACUUCUUGGAAAGCCGAACAAAAUGUUGCACAACCUCUUUGACAAAAUCACAGGCCAGGAGCAGAAUGGGAAAAACAGUAGGAAGAUCCAAGGGACUGUGGUUUUGAUGAAGAAGAAUGUGUUGGAUUUCAAUGACUUCAAUGCUUCUGUUCUUGAUCGUGUGCAUGAACUGCUAGGCCAAGGGGUUUCUCUGCAGCUCAUCAGUGCUGAUCAUGGAGACUCUGGUGAGUUUUUUUUUUUUUUUUUUCUCUCUCUCUCUUUAAUUUUCAUUAAAAAUGUAUAGUUUUUAUGGCUUCAUUGAUUGAAUAUGCAUGACAUGAAACCAAUUUGAGUUUUGCUCUUGUUUCAUUUCCUUGUAAUUCUUUUUCUUUGAAGCAAUUAUGAUAAGAUUAAGAAGAUGAACCAAUAACUCUAUCUUUUUCCUUGGUGGAUUAGUUGGGUUCAGAUUAUGUCAUUAAUCUCUUUGAUCUUCAUCAAAACUUGGCUAUAUCUGGCUUUUAGGUCCAAUAAAUCAGAUUUUGAAUGCAAUUCUGAUAUAGCCAGGCAAUGGAAACAGCUUUUUGACAAUUCAAAGGGCACCCGGGUCAAUUAAUCCAUUUUUUGGGUCCAGUCAUGAGGCAUUUGGAAUGUAGUGGUCUUGAGCUUACCCCUUCCAACACUCUCUCAUUGUGAUUGAAGGUGCCCCAACAUUGUUUUUGCCCUGUCUGUAUGCAAGUGAUUUGGUGGCUAAAAGUACAGUAGAGACAUUACUAUUUUAAUGGCAAGGGUUUUAUAGUCAAUCUAACAGCAUCAAUAUUUAUUGUACUAUUUGGUGUGCUACAUGAGAAAUCUAUAUUAUUUUGGUUGGUCUCUAUCAUUCGGAGGAAACAAACACUUUUUAAUUCAUCUUCUUCUUGUAACUAUGUCAUCCUCGUUUAUGGUAACAAAAAAUUUGAUUAAAAAACCAGUUUAGUUUUGAAAGAUAUGAAAAUGAUUUUUAAAUCAUGGCCAUCAGCCAUUCCAUUUGGUGGUCAUGUCAGGAAGUGAAUAGACAGGAAAGCUAAUCUUUUUCUUACCUGUGAACGCCAACUACCAGUCUAGCUACCAGUUAACAUGAAAAUGAAGCUCCAUGCAGUUGGCUGUUGGCUGUUGGCAUAGCUUUAAGCCUUUUUCUGAUUAUGGUUUUUUACUCAGAUCCAAUAAUUUUUUGUUUUCCUUCGAAUAUUCUGAAGAAACAGCCGCAGGUUCUGUUCCUAAUAAAAUUUUGAACACGCAUUGAAAAUUACAACAACUUGCAUAAAAUGGCUACAACUAAGACCUGAUUUGAGGUGUUUAGAACAAAAUUUCGGAUGAACUUUAUUCUAUUGGAAAUAUUAAUUGAUUUGUUUAUGAGGUACUAGAUAUGGAAUUAUUUUCUGAACUUGGAGAAAUGUGUUUUUGUAGAAAACGGGUUUAAGGGGAAACUUGGAGAGCCAGCAUAUCUGGAAGACUGGAUCACCACAAUCACUCCAUUAACUGUAGGAGAUUCUGCAUACAACGUUACCUUCGACUGGGAAGAGGAAAUAGGAGUUCCAGGAGCUAUCUUAAUAAAAAACAAUCAUCACAGUGAGUUCUUCCUUAAGACUAUCACCCUUGAAGAUGUUCCUCGUGAGGGCCGGGUCCACUUUGUUUGCAACUCAUGGGUGUACCCUGCAGAAAAAUACACGAAAGACCGUGUUUUCUUCGUUAACAAGGUAACGAAUGAUUCACACAAUCCAUUACAAUCUGCUGUAGUUUCUGUUGUAGCUGAUGGAAGUUUUAAAUUCUAAGUGCAAGCCUAGUAUAUUAUGAGGAUAUUUGUGGCUUGUAUCUUAAGUUAAAGACUAACAUUCAAGCCUUGUAUAUGUUUGUGCAGACAUUUCUCCCAAGUGAAACACCGUUGCCACUGCGAAAAUACAGAGAAGAAGAACUAGUACACUUGAGAGGAGAUGGAAAGGGAGAGCUCCAGGAAUGGGACAGGGUCUAUGACUAUGCUUACUACAAUGAUCUAGGGAACCCUGAUAAGGGUCCCAAAUACGCCCGACCAACUCUGGGAGGGUCUAGCGAGUACCCUUACCCUCGCAGGGGAAGAACCGGCAGACCAGCAACGAAGACAGGUUAGCCAUUUAAAUAUCUUUGUGUCAUUUUUUGUUCCUCAAAUCAUUAAUUAGCAGUCACAAGAGGGAUCAUAUUUUGUAUUGGAUUUUAAUUAACUGAUGUUGUAAUUAUCACUAUGAUUUUUCUGAUCUUAUUCUAACAGAUUCUAACAGUGAGAGUAGGAUUCCACUUCUUAUGAGCUUAAACAUUUAUGUGCCAAGAGAUGAACGAUUUGGACACUUGAAGUUGUCAGACUUUCUGGCUUAUGCACUGAAAUCCAUAGUUCAAUUCAUUAGGCCAGAGCUAGAAGCCCUGUUUGAUAAGACUCCUAACGAGUUUGACAGCUUGGAAGAUGUGCUUAAACUCUAUAAAGGAGGCAUUCCAUUGCCUGAAGGUUUAUUGAAGGAUAUCGGAGACAAUAUCCCUGCAGAGAUGCUCAAGGAAAUUUUCCGAACUGACGGUGCACAAUUGCUCAGAUUCCCCAUGCCUCAAGUGAUCGAAGGUAUAUGCUUCCACCAAUGAGAAAUUCUGAAUUUAGAGGCUUUAAGCAAUAGCCUAUGAUAUCAUGUACUAUUUCCUUUUAUCUAAUUCUGAUGUUUUCAUGAUUUGGAGCAGAGGAUAAGUCUGCAUGGAGGACUGAUGAAGAAUUUGCCAGAGAAAUGCUGGCUGGAGUGAACCCUGUCAACAUUAGUCUUCUCCAAGUAAUAAUCUUCACAACAUUUUGUGUGUGUGAUGUUUUCCAAUGAUAAUGGAUGAAAAACAAACCAUACUUUCGAGGGUCCAUUUUGUUCAUAUGUAAUCACAUUUGCUUCUAACUGAACUGCAGGAAUUUCCACCAGCAAGCAAACUAAACCCAAAAGUUUAUGGAGAUCAAACCAGUAGAAUAACAGAACAGGAUAUAGGGAACAAGUUGGAUGGACUAACAGUGCAUGAGGUAAUAUCUUGGAUUUGCUUCCUUUACAUUGUAUUAGCUUAUGUUUGAGUUUAUAUCAUUUCAUAAUGAUGAAAAUGAAUUUGGUUGGAUAGGCACUCAAGCAGAACAAGUUAUUCAUAUUGGAUCAUCAUGAUGCAUUGAUGCCGUACCUGAGGCGGAUAAACUCAACUUCCAACAAGAUCUAUGCUAGCAGAACAGUUCUUUUCUUGAAAAGUGAUGGAACUUUGAAGCCAUUGGUGAUUGAAUUAAGCUUGCCUCAUCCUGAUGGAGAUCAAUUUGGUCGCAUUAGUAAAGUAUAUACACCAGCUGAAGAGGGUGUAGAAGGCUCCAUAUGGCAACUGGCUAAAGCUUAUGUGGCUGUAAAUGACUCUGGAUAUCAUCAACUUAUCAGUCACUGGUACUAAUCUUUCAAAGAAAGAAAUCUUAGAAAAUGAAUUCAUCAUAUUACUUUGAAUUGGAUUUCUGAUAAUCCUUUUAUCUUUUGGCCACAGGUUGAACACCCACGCAGUGUGUGAGCCAGUUGUAAUAGCUACAAACAGGCAGCUAAGCGUGGUUCACCCAAUUUACAAACUUCUGCAUCCUCACUUCCGUGACACCAUGAACAUAAAUGCAUUUGCCAGGCAAAUCCUGAUCAAUGCUGGCGGCAUUCUGGAGACAACAGUUUUUCCUGCUAGGUAUGCCAUGGAGAUGUCAUCAGUGGUUUAUAAGGAUUGGGUUUUCACUGAGCAAGCUCUCCCUGCAGAUCUCAUCAAGAGGUAAACAAAAAUCUACACUUUGUGAGUUAAUUGCCUCUGCACAAGUAACUCAAAUGAGCACAAGAUAAGUAAUAAAUAUCCAUUCCUUAUUCUAAUUACAUUGCUUUGCCUUUGAUCAAUACAGAGGAGUUGCAGUCAAGGAUGCAAAUUCUCCACAUGGUCUUCGCCUACUGAUCGAGGACUAUCCAUAUGCCGUUGAUGGGAUUGAAAUCUGGUUUGCAAUUAAAACUUGGGUUGACGACUAUUGCUCUUUCUACUACAAGACUGAUGACAUAAUUCAAAAAGACAUUGAACUCCAAUCCUGGUGGAAGGAGCUUGUAGAGGAAGGCCAUGGUGACAAAAGAGAUGAGCCCUGGUGGCCUAAAAUGCAGACUCGCGAAGACCUAGUCGAAACAUGCACUAUCAUCAUAUGGACUGCUUCUGCUCUCCAUGCAGCCGUCAACUUUGGACAGUACCCUUAUGCAGGAUACCUCCCCAACCGGCCAACUAUAAGCCGAAAAUUCAUGCCUGAGAAGGGGACUCCUGAGUACAAAGAGCUCGAAUCCAGCCCUGAUACAGUUUUCUUGAAAACAAUUACUGCUCAGCUGCAGACAGUGCUUGGCAUUGCCCUCAUUGAAAUUCUGUCAAGGCAUUCUACUGAUGAAGUGUAUUUGGGGCAGAGAGACACUCCUGAGUGGACAGCAGACACAGAACCAUUGAAAGCCUUUGAUAAAUUUGGAAGUAAACUGGCUGAAAUUGAGGACAGAAUUACACGUAUGAACAACGAUGAGAAACUGAAGAACCGAGUUGGACCGGUGAAGAUGCCAUACACUUUGCUGUUUCCUACUAGCGAAGGAGGACUAACUGGCAGGGGAAUUCCCAACAGUGUCUCAAUCUAAGCCUCAUAAGCUAGUAUAUAGACUAAAGUUAAUUAGUAUAAUGCAAGUUGCAAUUACUAUAUAUAAUUAAGUAGUAUAAUGCAUUCUUUAUGUUACAUAAGCUAGAAUAUUACAGUUGCAAUAAGGCCUUGUAAAUUGCUUGGCUACAAUAUCUUUAUAUAAAGAACACUGUAUUCAUUGGUUCAUUAGCUUCCUUGCAAGCCUUUCAAGUUCUGCAGCAACAGCCUAGGCAUAUGCAAUAUCAACAUUUCAUCCAAGAUAUUGGAAAGUAUGAAAAUCAGAAUUUUAAGCCUUACUUUUAAUAAGCAUAUUUGAGAGGGAGCAGCAAAAGCAUUUUUGAAAUCAUCCAUGACAAUAUGCAUAAGCGCCU
rnacentral:lncRNA from 1 species